GAUGAACGCUGGCGGCGUGCUUAAUACAUGCCAGUCGAACGCUCAGACGAGGCUUUUGUUCCUCUGAUGUUAGCCGCACACGUGUGUAACACAUGUGGAUCCCCCCCCUAUCUUACUGUGAUACCUUCGGGAAACCGGUGCUAAUGCCUGAUAACAUGUUGUCCCGUAUGGUUCAACGGUGAGAGACGUUCUUGCUGGCACUUAUCGCUGGGUCCGCGCGGUUUUUGCUAGUUGGUAAGGUAACGGCUUACUAAGGCAAUGACGCGUAGCCGAGCAGAGAGGCUGAUCGGCCACACUGGAACUGAGACACGGUCCAGAGUCCUACGGGAGGCAGCAGUAGGGAAGCGGCCGCAAUGGGCGAAAGCGUGACAGAGCGACGCAGCGUGAGUGAAGAAGGUAUGCGGGUCGUAAAACUGUGUUACUAGGGAAGAACAAAUGUGUCAGUAACUAUGCACGUCUUGACGGUACUGAGUAAAAAAGCCCCGGCUAACUACGUG
rnacentral:rRNA from 1 species